rnacentral:rRNA from 1 species
AUACGUAGGAUGCAAGCGUUGUCCGGAAUUACUGGGCGUAAAGGGUCCGUAGGCGGUUUGUUAAGUCUUCUGUGAAAGUUCAGGGCUCAACCCUGAAAUGUCGGGGGAUACUGGCAAACUUGAGACUGUCAGAGGCAAGUGGAAUUCCCGGUGUAGUGGUGAAAUGCGUAGAUAUCGGGAGGAACACCAGUGGCGAAAGCGGCUUGCUGGGACAGUUCUGACGCUGAGGCGCGAAAGCGUGGGGAGCAAACCGGAUUAGAAACCCCGGUAGUCC